GGAGAUCACAAGAGACAAGGGAUCAAUACUGAGGCAUGGCCAGGGGCUGUGAAAAGUUGAGCUAGCAGAUUUUGGCUUGUUAGACAUUGCCAUUUUGAUGACCUGCACAGACAGAUUAAGGUGAAAUCAACGUCUGUCCAGCUGGUGAUUCAUCAGAUCCGCCUCUGACGGAGGGCCGCAGAGACUUUAAGGUGAAGAGGAGCUACUUCACUUCUGCAUCUGCAACGAAAAACACGGUACGGAACACGGCGCUCCUUUUGGACAGGAGGAUUAUUUUCCUGGUGUGAUGAUGGAUAUCAGGAUGGGGUGUUGAAGUGAGGACCGUGUGAGGCUGGUAGCUGUGGCGGCUCCUCCAGUAGGCCACACACAGCUGCUUCAUCAGCCAGUGGGAGUGAUGGUCACGGAGAUUCAGCUCUGUGAAAACAUGAACUG